rnacentral:lncRNA from 1 species
CCUUAUAGAAUCGAUUAUUGAUGGGAAGAUAUUAUUUAACUAUCCAAAAUAUUAUUUAAUUAUUUUCAGAAUUAUUUUCUUUCAAUGUUUAUUCAAAUAGAACUUAAACCCAUCUCAGAAUUUUUAAAUGCUUGAUGACGUCACAUUUAAAACGUGGCAACAUUGGUUUCCCCACUUUGACAGCCAAUGCUUAGUAGAGGGGUACGAAGGAUUCAGCUGUGAACGUGAGCCUUGGAUUGCGAUUGUUUCUCGAGUGUUCGGUCUGAAUCGUAGUGUGCGGGGUCAUUAGACUCAAUUAUUCACCUCUAAUUCUCAGUUCCAAAUUGAUUAAAUAUUACAAUAAAAGUAUAGUGAAGUUAUCCAGCAGCAGUGGAUUUGAAGAAUUUUAGAGCAUACUAUAUCCAAUGAGUUCUACCCCGCACCUACCAUGAAAUCUUAAAGCCACCCUACAACAACACCAAGGCCAGACCACACAGAGAGAAACAAUCAAUAGGCGACCAGCCUGGAUUAUUUCCACAUUUUCUUUUUUUUUGAGUACCUCCAGCUGCUUUCCAACAGUUUUGAGUACCUUCAGCUGCUUUCUACCAGUCUUCCUCUCCUGUACCUCCAGCAGGACAGCUGCUAGCGAGAGUUAGCACCCUUGGGUGCUCAUUACAUCAACUUCAAGAUUAGGAAAGAGUGGUUUGUUUGGGAACAUUUACUGUGCUCUUAUUAAAGACAGACUGGUUUUGUGAUAUUUAGUACAUUUUUUUUUAUAGUUCAAUUGCACACACAUUUUUCCUGCUUUAUAUUUUUUAUAGGUUUUUUUUUCUUUACAACAUAAUAUUUAAUUGAUAGCGUUCCCCAACACUCUGCAAUCUAUAAAGGUAUAAAUUUCUGAGCUCAGAUAUUUUCCCUGAUAAUAGUAGUCGGUACUCUUAUCUUGAUUAUUUUUAGGCUGUGUUCCACUUUUGUAUAAUUAUUUAAACUCAUUCCAUUAUUUUAGUAUAUGUUUAAUUAAAUUUUUAAAAAUUAACUUCACAUAUUAGUCAAAAUUGUAAUUAUUAACUUUAUUUAACUUGAACUUAUUAACUUUACUUAACUUUAACUUAUUAACUUUAUUUAACUUUAACUUUAAUUUAUUAAAUUCAUAUGAACUUCUGGAUUCUAAUCCCUCAGAUUAGUUUUUGGUUUCACUUGUUAUUAUUACUAUUAUAAACCACGAGUUAGGAAAAGGAUCUGUGUAUCCACUCGUAGGUUUAUUUAUUCAAUAAGGCUUGUGCCUGUCCCACUCACAGUGAGGUAUUUAUAUGUUAUAUAUAGUAUCAGGUAGUAUUUAAUUAAGGUGUACGUAUUAUAAACGUACAAUUAUUAUUUGGUGAGGGUUCUACUAACCUAGUUGUAAGUUGUACUUCCUGUAUUAGAGGUACCCGUAGUCAGUUUUUCUAACCUUAUAAAGAGUAUUCUUAGAUCAUAGUUGUAUGAUGAUUUUGUAAUUGACUUUCACUAGUAUCACUUUUUCCUGUCAUGUUAGAGUUACACACUAGUUACUUGUCCUAACUCAGAGGUUGUUAAAAAGAUCUAGUAGUUACAUUCAAUAAAUAUACAUUUAUUGUGA